GGCAGGCGCAGCCUGGGCUGAGUUUGCAGGGCUGCUCCCCUCACCCAACCCCUUGGAGUCCUCUGCGCGCUACGCCCCACCCGACCCGUGGGGGAGGUUCCGUCCCGCCGCCUUCGCCCGCGCGCUGCACUCGCGGACGGUCUCUGCUCGCCUUGGGCGCGCCCUGGGGCGCCGGGCUGCGCUGGCGCUGCUGCUCCUCGGCCUGCUCCGUCCUCUGGUGGCCGCCCCGGGGCUGACUUUGACUUAGCGAUGCCUUUCGUGAUGGAGGAAACAGUGACCCAGCACCACCUAAUCCUCCCAAACCAAAGCCAGAUCCAAACCCCAACCGACCUGGUUUCACUGGGGCUGACUUUGACUUAGCAGAUGCCUUUGGUGAUGGAGGAAACAGUGACCCAGCACCACCUAAUCCCCCCAAACCAAAGCCAGAUCCAAAUCCCAACUGACCUGGUUUCACUGAUAAGAGCCUCUAACCCUACGGAGUGGUCUCUGUGUUGUUUACCUGGCAGUGAUGUCCGUGUCAUCUGAGAAGAGGAGAUUUCAGGUGACCCAGCACCUCCUAAUUCACCCAAGCCGAAGCCAAAUGCGAACCCUGAGCAGCCUGGAUUCAUUGGGGAUGACUUUGACUUAGCAGAUGCCUUACAUGACAGAAGAAAUUAUGAGCCAGCACCACUGAACCCACCCAAACCAAAGCCAAAUCCAAACCCCAAGCAGCCUGAUUCCACCGGGGCUGACUUUGAUUUCACAGAUGUUUCUUCGUGGUGAAUGAAACAAUGCUAAGCAACAUGAGAGUGAGUGUCUGGCCAUGGUUUGCUCAUCUGUGCAUCUCCAGGACUGGCUGGGUUCCUGGGUGUGAAGAAGCAGAGGUCCACACACAUGGGUGAAUCUGUGCUGCUUCUCACCACCACACUGCUUGGCUUCCUUAUUUCCUUCCUGUCACCUGGAAUGCCUACCCUGUACUUCUCUCCAGCGCCAACACCAUCAUUUACCACCUCGUUCAGCUCCCAGGCAUCCUAGAAGCCUUUCCUGACCACAGGGAUGCAUCGUGGUGCACAAUUCCUGCAGCUGCCACUAUGGUGCAAGAUGAGUCUAGAAGAACAGUUUUGCUGUGCAGUCACCCUUACUCGCUAUUGUGAUUUUGCCUUUAACAUAUUGAAAAAGACACAGAAAACACACACCAUCCGAUCAUUUAGUUGCAGGCACAUCGUGCGAUGCUAAGAAUUUGCUGUGUUUUAAAUUGGUGUCUGUUGACUCUUCAGCUUCUGCUCCAGGCUUCUUAUGUCCCCACUCAGCCCUGAAUCCCAUUCCCCCUAAUCUCGGUAACUUUGGUGGCUUUUGCACCAGCCAAAAUCAGAUCCUAGGUCUUGAGCAAAACCAAGAGCAAGGAAAAAAAUCCCCCAUGGGAAUCUGAGACCUCACUCUAAUGACUUCAGUUGCUGUUGACUUGAUUUCCUUCAACUGCUGAAGGAGGUUAGAUCAGUUUCCUCUUGCUUCUAGGAUAAAGCAUCGCAGACUUUGCAGCUUAAAACAGUGCACAUUUCUUUGCUUACAGUUCUGGAGGUAAGAAGUCUGAAAUUAGUUUCCUGGGGCUCCCAUCAAGGUGUCAGCAGGGCUGGCUUCCUUCUGGAGGCUCUAGGAGAGAAAGGGUUUGCUUGAUAUUUCCAGCUUCUAGAGGCUGCGUACAUGCCUUGUUAUGUGGCUGCUCCCUCCAUCUUCAAAGCCAGCAGUGUAGCAUCUUCCAAUCUCUCUCUAACACGGACCCUCUUGCUUCCCUCUUUCAAUGAUAAGGACCCAUGUGAUGACAUUGGUCCUACUUGGGUAAUCCAGUAAUGUCUUCUCAUCUCAAGCUCAGCUGAUCAGCAACCUUCAUUCCAUCUGCAACCUUCAUUUCCCUUGCACAGGUUCUGGGAAUCAGGACAUGGAUAUCUUUGGGGCCUGCUAUUGCUUCUACCUACAACUGGUGUUACAAGACUUGGCCCACUUAAUCUUGCAAAUCCUUUCUGCCCCUCUUAAUGAGAUCUGUUCUCUAUGAAUGUUCAGGACCUCAGGAGUAGGGACCCCAAAGGCUGGGAGCAAAGUAGAUGUGACAGGUACCAAGCAUAGGAUGUGUGACCAGAUUCGGUCAUGUGAUUACAUUGUGAGGUGACCCAGGCAUUUUCAUUAGGAAGGAAAAUGGUUGUAGGAGGAGGAAAUUGAACACAACCCACACAUGGGUGGUUGGAAAAUCUGAGAGCUCUCGUGGGCAUGCUCACCCAUUUCACUCACCAUGGUACAGGGGAAAUUCUUAGACCUGUCAGUGCAACUAUUUGAAAUAAACAUCCAAGAAAGUCGGCAAACUUCAGGUAGGAUGAAGUCAGAGAUCCACCCUGAAGCACAGUGAAAGCCACAAGACAGAAGUGACUGAUCCCAUCCCAGGGAUCCUAAAGAAGAUUAUCAUCAGACUUCCCAUUGGAAACUUUGGAAGCCGGACACCAGUAGUAGUCUGAUAAAUUCAAAAUGCUAAAAAACAAAACCAAUGAAAACAUGCUAACCAAGAAAAAAAAAUGCUACAUGGCUGAAGAAAUCAUGCAGAAAUUUUAGCAACAUUUUAAAUGAUCCAACAAGGUCUGUUGUUUCUGCGCAGAUAUGGGCAAACAUGAGCUUGUAUAGCUUAUUUUUAUGGGUGCAAGGAGCAUGCAGUUAUCUCCACUAGCAUGUUUUUUGUUUGUUUGCUUUGAGAUGGAUUCUCACUCUGUCGCCCAGGCUGGAGUGCAGUGGCACAAUCUUGGCUCACUGCAACCUCCGUCUCCCAGGUUCAAGCAGUUCCCUGCCUCAGCCUCCCGAGUAGCUGGGAUUACAGGUGCCCACCACCACGCCUGGCUAAUUUUUGUAUUUUUAGUAGAGAUGGGGUUUCAGCAUCUUGGCCAAGGCUGGUCUUGAACUCCUGACCUCGUGAUCCACCCACGUCAGCCUCCCAAAGUGCUGGGAUUACAGGUGUGAGCCACCGCGCCCAGCCUGUUUUUCUUUUUAACUCAUGCAUAGGUUCAGAAUUUAGUUCCAGGUACGUGAGAGCUCCUUGUAGAUGUUUUUCAUGGCGAGUCAGCUGGCUUACCAGACCUUGUCUGACUUCUUCCUUUAUCUUCCCAACAGUUCAGCACCUUGGUGCGGUACAGGGUCCCAUUAGCAGGUCUCAUUUCCCACCACUGACUGAACAUCAGCAGGCUCAAUCCACAAGUCAGGGGCUGGGGAUGUCUUGUCAAGAAUUCCCUCUUUAGGGGCAGGAAUGAAAUUUAUAACAACAUCCAUGCUGCUUGAUGGAGCCCUCUCUACAUGGCAGGUGCUUUGCAAGCACUUUCAGAAAAUCUGCACCAAACUGUAUAGUAAGAAUGAUCACUGUCAUUCUACAAGUCAGAAACUUGAAAAUCAGAUUGGUGACGUAUUCAGCUAAUGCACUGCAAAUAAACAGCAGAAGUGAAAUUCAGAUAUCAAGACAUUUGUCCUCAAAGUCUAUGCUUGCAACUAGAUUAUGGCCCUGAUAUCCUAGGGAUGAAUCAGUUUCAGUUUCCCUUCCUGGACCCCCAGCAAGUAGUACAUGGGAAUUAUUCUAGUGCGGUAUAGCGGGGAGCAGUGUAAACAGAUAAACAAGGUUUUCCGGGGCCCUGGUUUAGGCAAAUAAAUCUUACAACAUUAUCUGGCUCUUUCAAGUAGACUUCAGACUUGGCCUUGUUUUCUAGACUGUUUUGCCCAAUGGAAAAUAGUGUUUGUAUCUUUAGAAGAUGUAUUAUGUGAUUUUCCCCUCUCAAUAUUUUGCAGGGCAGAGAUACUGCUUUGAUCUAUUUUCACAUAAUAAUUAUUAUUUGAGGUCUCAAUUAAGACCAGCAUCUUCAUCUGUGUGGGGCUCUGAGUUAAGGGCUUUCCAUAGACUCACUCUUGCCAUUUCUUCUAACUCCCUUGAGCAGAGGCCAGCAGUAGAGAAACUUGAUAAAUAACACAAGUGCUACAAUCCCUGAGUCCUCUAAGAAAUGAGACACAAAGGAAAGAUCCAGGGACAUUUUCACAGAUGUGCCCAAUUCCAGUGGCCCCAGGUUUCCCACCCUGCUGUUGAUAUUCUGCCACCCAUAGUCAUGAUCAUCUGGCUACAAAACAGCAGGCAGGGCUGUGCAUGAGUGAUGUUACAGGUGGGCUCAUGGCUACAUGGAUGUCUAGACAUGUCUAGGUGUCCAUAUGCAGGAACUGAGGGAAAGUGAGAAGGAGGGAGGGAUGGGUGGACAGAUGGAUAGAUAAAUGGAUGGAAAGGUGGACAAAUGGAUAGAUGCAUGAAUGGAUGGUGAAUUGGUAGGUAAAAUGGAGGGAUGGAUGGAUGGAUGUUUGGAUGGAUAUUUGGA